AUACUGCCAGACUUGGAACCGGGAGAGGUAAGAGGUACCUACAGGGGUAGGAGUGAAAUCUUGUAAUCCCGUGUGGGACCACCUGGUGGCGAAGGCGUCUUACCAGAACGGGUUCGACGGUGAGGGACGAAAGCUGGGGGCACGAACCGGAUUAGAUACCCGGGUAGUCCCAGCCGUAAACGAUGCUCGCUAGGUGUCAGGCAUGGCGCGACCGUGUACUGGUGCCGCAGGGAAGCCGUGAAGCGAGCCACCUGGGAAGUACGGCCGCAAGGCUGAAACUUAAAGGAAUUGGCGGGGGAGCACAACAACGGGUGGGAAGCCUGCGGUUUAAUUGGACUCAACGCCGGACAACUCACCGGGGGCGACAGCAAUAUGUAGGCCAAGCUGAAGACUUUGCCUGAAUCGCUGAGAAGAGGUGCAUGG
rnacentral:rRNA from 1 species